AACAACCUUAUCUUUUGGAGGGAUAACUGCAGGUGAUGGGGAUACCCUAGGAAUGUACUUUGGAGAAAAUAACCAACUACUAUGGGUCGUGCCUCCGGUUCCAGCUACGUUGACAAUCUCAACAUCGGAAAAUUGAAUUAUCUUCCCACCCACAUACGCUGUAGUAUCAUAUCUCCAAGGCACUCCCUUGGUGUCUUGAUAUGGGAACGAACCAGGAAGACAAAUGUGAAUAGGAUGGAUCCUCCAAGGAGGAUCUUCAAUCUUCUGCUUUCUGUAGAUAAUCGUUAUCGGCUCAAUAAUAGAGACUUCUUCAACCACUUUUGAUCUGGAAAACUACACACUUCUUUGUUUUAUCAAACUUUGGACACAUUCCUUCAACACA
rnacentral:lncRNA from 1 species